UUCUUCAGGGCAGGGUGACGACUUUUUAUAUAAGUUGAAUUCCCGACCGGCGGUAAAGUCCGCGAGCCGUAAGGCUGAAUUGGUGCAAUUCCAAUACCGACAGUAAAGUCUGGAUGAGAGAAGAUG
rnacentral:ncRNA from 1 species